UACGGAGGAUGCGAGCGUUAUCCGGAUUUAUUGGGUUUAAAGGGUGCGUAGGCGGACUGUCAAGUCAGCGGUAAAAUUGAGAGGCUCAACCUCUUCCCGCCGUUGAAACUGGUGGUCUUGAGUGGAUGAGAAGUACGCGGAAUGCGUGGUGUAGCGGUGAAAUGCAUAGAUAUCACGCAGAACUCCGAUUGCGAAGGCAGCGUACCGGCAUCCAACUGACGCUGAGGCACGAAAGCGUGGGGGGCAAACAGG
rnacentral:rRNA from 1 species